UGUUGUCUAUAAAUAGGCCAACCAACUGUCAGUGGAAGCACUACAUGCUGACUCAAUUUCCCUACAGGAUCUCUUUCAGGAACCUCCAAUAAACGUUGAUGUGGCAAGCAAAAAUAUGCACUGCAUGUUUGUUUGGUAACAAGCCAGUCACGCUUACAAAAAAUGUAUUUGUGUCGGCAAUCUUCGUGCAAACUAAAUAGUGUGCCAGAAGUUUGCAAAUGUUUGCCACUGGUGGACAAUCUGCAGCAAACCUUUGGCAACAAUAAUAUUUAUUGCAACUAGUGGCAAAUAGUUUACCAGAAGCCAUUUCUGGUGAACACGUGAGUUCCAGGACCAGUAACCGUUGACGACCAGUCAGGGGGAGAAGAAGAAUCCGUUGGAAAAUGGAAACCAAACUAUCUAGCUGGCUUCCUACCGAAGUUGUCCGUUGAAACCGGGAUUCAUCCAUGAAGAUCACACUUCUUCAGCGUGCCAGUGGCCAUCGAAGCUGUCAGGGUGGCUGGUCUCAGACCAUGCCACAGGUGAAGAUGCCGGAUGUGGAGGUCCUGGACUGGUGUGAUUACACAUGGUCUGCGGUUUUGAGGGCGGAUGGACGUACUGUCAAAUUCACUAAAACGACGUUGGAAGGGGCCUCCUCUGGCAACAGCUCUGAUGGACAUUCCUGCAGUCAGCAUGUCAAAGUUUGAUUGGGAGUACCAUAGAGAGGAGCACAUUUUGGCCCAGCGUCAUCCAUGUUUGCCCGGGGUCGGGUAAUUUGAUUUAAAAAAAAAAGAAUUUGUUCUUAAUAACUGACUUGCCUAGUUAAAUAAAUUAACAAAUCAAAAUAUGUCAAUUGCACGCUAUCCUAAAAACUUGAGACAUCUGUGCUGUUGUGAGGUAACUGCACAUUUUAGUGGCCUUUAAUUGUCAUCAGCACAAGGUGCACCUGUGUAAUGAUCAUGCUGGAAAAGACUACGGAGAACCCCCGAUUAUUAGAUUUUUUUCCCCCAUCACUCACACCCGAAGAUAUUAACAUCUAAUAUUCAUCCAAUGUCUGCCGUGCUUCUGGAUCACGUCAUCGCUGCUUCAGCUGGGCUCCAGUAUGCAUGUGCUAUCGGCUCUGCAAACCGGGUCUAGGAAGAUGUCUGUCUCCACAAAACAGCGGAUGUGAACGUGAUUAAAUUUAAGUUGAAAACAACGGUCAGCAAUUUUUAGACGCCGUCUCCAGUUCUUUUAUAGCUCAACGGUAUCACACUUAAUCAGCAUCACGUCAUCAAUGACAUCCAAAGCUUCCUUUUCUCACAACCACCUGAUUGGUUUGGUAUUGGUUUUCCGUCGGCGACAAAAAAACGCUAAGCUAAGCAAGUUAGCCUGUUUUGAUCAGAGCCUCCAGUAAUGAAUACAUUUUUGACACAAUUGGCUGGAAAGCCUCAAUCAGUGCUGCUAAAAACAGAAGUUAGCCUUUUUUUGUUGAGUCCUGAAAGGGGCAAAAUGUUCACAACAAACUAUUGAUGCCCAGUAAAUUGGACCCUGUGAUAAUCUAAUAAAAAUAGUUGUUAUGAAAAUAAAAACCUGUUUUAAAUAAAUAUAUUACACACAGUACGGUCAAACGUUUGUACAUAAUCGUGAAGACUAUAUAAUAUAUGAAAUAACAUAUGGAUUCAGGAAGUAACCCAAACAUGUUAACUAAAUCCAAAUAUAUUUUAGAUUCUGUAAAGUAGCCACCCGUUGCCUUGAUGACAGCUUGCACACUCUUAGCAUUCUCUCAAUCAGCUACAAGAGGAAUGCUUUUCCAACAAUCUUGGAGUUCCCACAUUUGCUGAGCACUUGUUGCCUGCUUUUCCUUCACUCUGCGGUCCAACUCACCCCAAACCAUCUCAAUUGGGUUGAGGUCGGGUGAUUGUGGUGGCCAGGUCAUCUGAUGCAGCACUCCAUAACGCUCCUUCUUGGUCAAAUAGCCCUUACACAGCCUGGAGGUGCGUUGGGUCAUGAGUGCCAGUUUGGUUUUUGCGACUGCACUUUAAGAAACUUUCAAAGUUUUUGAAAUUUUACAGAUGGACUGACCUUUGACUAGCUCAUGAAGCUGGUUGAAAGAACCAAGAGUGUGCAAAGCUAUCAUCAAGGCAAAGAGUGUCUACUUUGAAGAAUCUCAAAUAUAAAAUAUAUUUUGAUUUGUUAAUUUAUUUAACUAGGCAAGUCAGUUAUUAAGAACAAAUUCUUUAAAAAAAAUUCAUUUUAACACUUAUUUUGGUUACUACAUGAUUCCAUGUGUUAUUUCAUUGUGUUGAUGUCUUUGCUAUUAUUCUACAAUGUAGAAAAUAGUUUAAAAAAAUCAAGAAAACCCCAGGAAUGAGUAGGCGUUCUAAAACUUUUGACUGAGAUGGAUGAUUAGAUAGGAUACACACACAGAUUUUCAAUAUUUUUUGUUUUCUAAUGUUUUAUCUCAGCGAUUUUGGGAGGUUUCAUGCAAAAAAAAAAAAAAGUGCUAAAACUGCAUCAGAACCUCAGGAGAGGCGCCAGGGUAUGAGUUGCUGAUCGCCAUAUGCAGCAGCUCCAUUCCCAUGCAUUCAAAUUGCACGCACAUGCACACGUUCCUGACUCCAGUCACUGGGCAAGAUCAAGCGGAUCACUUUUGUAAAGUCAUCCUUGGGUCACCGCCUUUCAAAGUGUGUUGCAUUAUGGUCGACUGCAUAACUUUUAUAAAAAUGGUGUGAUUAAAAAUAAAAUCUUGAAAAAUGAAGCCCAAAUACCACCUUACAGUGCAUUCAGAAAGUAUUCAUAUCCCUGGACUUUUUCCACAUUUUGUUACAGCCUUAUUCUAAAAUGAAUUUAACUAUUUAUUUAUUUUCCUCAUCAAUCUACACACAAUACCCCAUAAUGUCAACGUGACCCACAGGCAUUAUUUCAAUAUACAAUACUCAAACACAUGACUUUGAAUCCUCUACUUUCGCCACUAUCAUUUUUAUUUCAUAAUAUAGCUACAGUGUUUAUAACAUGACACCCAAGUUAAAAGGUUGUCACCCAUUCUUCCUUCACCUCCACAAAUAUCUACCUAUUAUACCCAUGAUUACCAUCAUUUAUUAACAUUCAGUGUUUA